GAUCCUGGCUCAGGAUGAACGCUAGCGGCAGGCUUAACACAUGCAAGUCGAGGGGCAGCAUAAUGGAUAGCAAUAUCUAUGGCGGCGACCGGCGCACGGGUGCGUAACGCGUAUGCAACCUACCUUUAACAGGGGGAUAACACUGAGAAAUUGGUACUAAUACCCCAUAAUAUCAUAGAAGGCAUCUUUAUGGUUGUAAAUUACCGUAUGUUAGAGAUGGGCGAUGCGUUGUAUUAG
rnacentral:rRNA from 1 species